GCGUUGUGUAAGCGGAGAAACAGUAGCGGAAGCGGCUGUGGAGUUUACAGAAGUGAGAAUGCCGGAAUGAGUAGCGCGAAUGAUGUGAGAAUCAUCAUGGCCGGAAACCUCAGGUUUUUGGAGGAAGGUUCGUCCGCUCCAAGUUAGGCGGGGGCUAAGGUGAGGCCGAAAGGCGUAGCCGAUGCACAGACGGUAGAGAUUCCGUCCCCACCGAAAGAUUUAAGCGCAGGGACACUUUUAGAAGGUCGGAGCCAGGUGUUGGUUCUGGUAGAGAUCGAGGGAAGAUUAGUACCGAAGUCCGGCUGGAUAAGAGGCGAGAAAAGCUGCGUGUAUAUCUAAGGUGCCCGUACCGCAAACCGACACAGGUAGGUAGGAAGAAGAUUCUAAGGCCAACGGGAGAAGGGUUGUUAAGGAACUCGGCAAGUUGACCCCGUAACUUCGGAAUAAGGGGUGCUCAUGAAAGUGAGCCGCAGAGAAUAGGCCCAGGCAACUGUUUACCAAAAACACAGGUUUGUGCUAAAUCGAAAGAUGACGUAUACGAGCUGACGCCUGCCCGGUGCUGGAAGGUUAAAAGGAGAUGUGCAAGCAUUGAAUUGAAGCCCCAGUGAACGGCGGCCGUAACGAUAACGGUCCUAAGGUAGCGAAAUUCCUUGUCAGGUAAGUUCUGACCCGCAUGAAAGGCGUAAUGAUCUGGGCACUGUCUCAACAGCCCGCCCGGCGAAAUUGUAGUACCGGUGAAGAUGCCGGUUACCCGCGACAAGACGGAAAGACCCCAUGAGCUUUACUGUAGCCUAAUAUUGGGUUUCGGUGUUGCAUGCACAGGAUAGAUGGGACGCUGGGAAGUGAGUGCUUUGGCAUUCAUGGAGCGGCCGUUGGGAUACCAUCCUUGCGACAUUGGAAUUCUAACCUGCGCCUUUGAAUCAAGGCGGGGGACAUUGUUAGGUGGGCAGUUUGACUGGGGCGGUCGCCUCCUAAAGAGUAGCGGAGGCGUUCAAAGGUUGGCUCGUCCUGGACGGAAACCAGGAGAGAGAGUGCAAACGCAAAAGCCAGCCUGACUGCGAGACUGACGGGUCGAGCAGAGACGAGAGUCGGAGUUAGUGAUCCGGUGGUAUGUGGGUGGAAAUGCCAUCGCUCAACGGAUAAAAGUUACCCUGGAUAACAGGCUGAUCUCCCCCAAGAGUCCACAUCGACGGGGAGGUUUGGCACCUCGAUGUCGGCUCAUCGCAUCCUGGGGCUGUAUUCGGUCCCAAGGGUUUGGCUGUUCGCCAAUUAAAGCGGUACGCGAGCUGGGUUCAGAACGUCGUGAGACAGUUCGGUCCCUAUCUGUCGUGGGCGCAGGAUAUUUGAAAGGCGCUGUCCCUAGUACGAGAGGACCGGGAUGGACGAACCUCUGGUGCACCAGUUGUCACGCUAGUGGCACAGCUGGGCAGCUAUGUUCGGAUCGGAUAAACGCUGAAAGCAUCUAAGCGUGAAGUCGGCCUUAAGAUAAGAUAUCCCACUGAGAUAAUCAGGUAAGACCCCUUGAAGACUACAAGGUUGAUAGGCACAAUGUGUAAGUGGCGCGAGUCAUUGAGCAAGCGUGUACUAAUAGGUCGAGGGCUUGACCAG
rnacentral:rRNA from 1 species